rnacentral:rRNA from 1 species
AUUGAACGCUGGCGGCAGGCCUAACACAUGCAAGUCGAACGAGUGGCGGACGGGUGAGUAAUGUCUGGGAAACUGCCUGAUGGAGGGGGAUAACUACUGGAAACUGUAGCUAAUACCGCAUACCAUCAGAUGUGCCCAGAUGGGAUGAGCUUGUUGGUGGGGUAACGGCUAACGAAGGCGACGAUCCCUAGCUGGUCUGAGAGGAUGACCAGCAACACUGGAACUGAGACACGGUCCAGACUCCGACGGGAGGCAGAAGAGGGGAAGAUUGCACAAUGGGCGAAAGCCUGAUGCAGCCAUGCCGCGUGUAGGAAGAGGGCCUUCGGGUUGUAAAGUACUUUCAGCAGGGAGGCGUUACCUGCAGAAGAAGCACCGGCUAACUCCGUGCCAGCAGCCGCGGUAAUUC